CCAGACUCCUACGGGAGGCAGCAGUGAGGAAUAUUGGUCAAUGGGCGAGAGCCUGAACCAGCCAAGUCGCGUGAGGGAAGACGGCCCUACGGGUUGUAAACCUCUUUUGUCAGGGAGCAAGAACGGAUACGUGUAUCCGAGCGAGAGUACCUGAAGAAAAAGCAUCGGCUAACUCCGUGCCAGCAGCCGCGGUAAUACGUAGGGAGCGAGCGUUGUCCGGAUUUACUGGGUGUAAAGGGUGCGUAGGCGGCUUGGCAAGUCAGUAGUGAAAUCCAUGGGCUUAACCCAUGAACUGCUAUUGAAACUGUCGAGCUUGAGUGAAGUAGAGGUAGGCGGAAUUCCCGGUGUAGCGGUGAAAUGCGUAGAGAUCGGGAGGAACACCAGUGGCGAAGGCGGCCUACUGGGCUUUAACUGACGCUGAGGCACGAAAGCGUGGGUAGCAAACAGGAUUAGAUACCCCCGUA
rnacentral:rRNA from 1 species